rnacentral:rRNA from 1 species
GAUGAACGCUGGCGGCGUGCCUAAUACAUGCAAGUCGAGCGAACAGAAGAAGAGCUUGCUCCCCUGUCGUUAGCGACGGACGCGUGAGUAACACGUGGAUAACCUACCUAUAAGUCUGGGAUAACUACGGGAAACCGGAGCUAACUCAGAAUAAUAUAUUGAACCGCAUGGCUCAAUAGUGAAAGUAGGUUUUGAUGUCACUUAUAGAUGGAUCCGCGCCGCAUUAGCUAGUUGGUAGGGUCACGGCUUACCAAGGCAACGAUGCGUAGCCGACGUGAGAGGGUGAUCAGCCACACUGGAACUGAGACACGGUCCAGACUACUACGGGAGGCAGCAGUAGGGAAUCUUCCGCAAUGGGCGAAAGCCUGACGGGGCAACGCCGCGUGAGUGAUAAAGGUCUUCGGAUCUUAAUACUCUGUUAUUAUGGAAGAACAAAUGUGUAAGUAACUAUGCGCGUCUUGACGGUACCUAAUCAGAAAGCCACGGCUAACUACGUG